UCUUUUUGCUACCAAAAUCCUUCUCCAACUCUUUUCUUUACAAGAUUUAUUCAAUAUAUGUUUUAAACACCAAAUUAAAGAACCAAAAUAAGACUACAAGGAUCACCAAUGUCGAAUAAAGGUGACUCCAAAUAUUUAAAGUUACAACCAACAAAAUCAAUCUCAAAAGCCACUAUUAAAAGAAAAUAAAGUUAUACAAAUUU
rnacentral:lncRNA from 1 species